ensembl:lincRNA
GCCCCUGGGACUUCUUCAGCCACAUGGACUCCCCCAGCGUCCGGCCUCUGCUCUCUCGGAACAACCUGCCCGCGUGUCAUAGGAAAACACUCAUUUCUACUUCGAGCAGAGUGGUUUAUUUCGGUUUCCUUAGGAAUCCCCGCCAAUUCCUAACUUGGCCACAGCUGUUUAUAACUCAGGUUUAUGAAUAUGUCUUCAGUUCUCCUUAUAAAAGCCCUCAGUGAGUCAUAAAGCAAGUGGGUUGGGAUAACACAGCUACUUACAAAUAAAGCGAAUUGAGCCGGGCAUGGUGGGCAGAUGCCUGUGAGCCCAGCACCCAGGAUGCUGAGGCAGGAGAAUCACCAUGAGUUCCGGGCCAGCCUGGGCAACAUAGUGAGACCCUGUCUCAAAAAACAAAUAAAAAAUACCUCAAGUAAACAAAUGAAGCGAAUCAAUUCCAUUCCUAAAAUAAAUGAGUUUUAUUUUUGAUGUUUUUGGUCAGUCGCCGCCCUUGGGUAGUAAAUGGACUGACUCUUUACCUUAUGCAAGUGAGUGGCCCUGAGUAGCUCAGAAAGGAUCUGAGCUCGUCUCGGUAGGGCUGCUAUUUUAUUGUUAUUUAUUUUAUUUUGGGUUUUUGAGACAAGGUCUCCCCGUUGUAACCCAGGCUGGCCUCGAACUUGCGGCGAUCCUCCUGUUUCAGCCUCCCGAGGGCUGGGAUCACAGGAGAGAAUGGGUUUAGUGAUGCAGUUUCCCAGCGUUUUCCCAGGAGGCCGCAGCCCUGCGUGUGAACAAGACGUGCCUUGCGCAAGUCACAGCUGCCUCCCAAGCCACAGUGCCGGAGCUCAGACGCUGACACACAGGACCCGAGCUGUUGGUUUAGCUCCCAGUAGAGCACCAGCCAGAAAGAAGAGGGGAGACAUGGACGCCAACACCCCAGGCAGAUGCACCACAAGCCCACUAGGACGGUGGACGCAGGAAGCCGCCGAGCAGCACAGAACGGGAGCACACACCCUCGUCAGACCCUGCAAAGCUAUUCGGCACCUUGGACAUUUUAUUUCAUUUCUUGAGACAGAGUCUAACUAUUUUGCCCAGGCCGGGCAGCAACUCCUGGACUCAAAGGAUCCUCCUGCCUCAGCCUCCCCGAUAAGCUGGGAUUCGAGGAACCUGGCUUGUUUGGCACUUGUUAUAAAGUUACAUUUGCACUCAUUUUUGAGCUUAGCAAUUUGAACCCUAGGUAUCUACCUGAAAGUAAUUUUAAAAGUACAUCUACGUCAAGGCGUGUUUAAAAAUAGAGCAGUGUGCUCCUGAUGGCCUCCAAAUGCAAAGUAAUAGAUCAACAGCUGAGUCGGUAGCGCUGAAAUGCAUGGGGUGGAAUGUCAGUGGGUGCGCGGUGCGGGGAGGAGCCGGUGGGAGAGACUUCACCGGCUGGAGGAAACCACUGGAUAAAAACUCCGGGAGAGGCCAAACCGAAGGAGCCAGGCCCUCGGGCUCCCUUCAGCGAGGUUGGGGGUUACGGCGAGCGGGGGGCCUCACGGUGCAGUUUGGGGCGCAGCGCAGAGGGAGAGCGGGAGAAGGGACGCGGUCUCCGCCGAGAUGCCCG